GUGAAUCAUCGAAUCUUUGAACGCAAAUUGCACUCUCUGGUAUUCCGGAGAGUAUGCCUGUUUGAGGGUCAGUUAAAUAAAAAUCGGUGUUGUUGCUGGCUUUCGUUGGUACGCGUCGGAUUUAAGUCGUCUUACCUUCGGUUAAGCGUCUUAAAAUUUUUGCAUGAUUUUCGAGCGUGUUUAAAUAGGUUAUAUAUCUUUAAGAU
rnacentral:misc_RNA from 1 species